AUUGAACGCUGGCGGCAGGCCUAACACAUGCAAGUCGAGCGGAUGAAGGGAGCUUGCUCCUGGAUUCAGCGGCGGACGGGUGAGUAAUGCCUAGGAAUCUGCCUGGUAGUGGGGGAUAACGUCCGGAAACGGGCGCUAAUACCGCAUACGUCCUGAGGGAGAAAGUGGGGGAUCUUCGGACCUCACGCUAUCAGAUGAGCCUAGGUCGGAUUAGCUAGUUGGUGGGGUAAGGGCCUACCAAGGCGACGAUCCGUAACUGGCCUGAGAGGAUGAUCAGUCACACUGGGGCACGGAGACGCUGCCCAGUCCUCCGCGAGGGGCAGGAGUGGAAUAUUGGACACUGGGGGCAAAAGUGAUACACAGCCGUGCCGCGUGUGAAGAAGGUCUUCGGAUUGUAAAGCACUUUAAGUUGGGAGGAAGGGCAGUAAGUUAAUACCUUGCUGUUUUGACGUUACCAACAGAAUAAGCACCGGCUAACUUCGUG
rnacentral:rRNA from 1 species